rnacentral:rRNA from 1 species
AUUGAACGCUAGCGGGAUGCCUUACACAUGCAAGUCGAACGGAGUGGCGAACGGGUGAGUAAUGUAUCGGAACGUGCCCAGUAGCGGGGGAUAACUACUCGAAAGCGUAGCUAAUACCGCAUACUCUUGGAGCGGCCGCUAUCGGAUUAGCUAUGUGGUGGGGGAAAGGCUCACCAAGGCGACGAUCCGUAGCUGGUUUGAGAGGACGACCAGCCACACUGGGACUGAGACACGGCCCAGACUCCUAAGGGAGUCAGCAGUGGGGAAUUUUGGAAAAUGGGGGAAACCCUGAUCUAGCCAGCCCGCGUGUGAGAUGAAGUCCUUCGGGUUGUAAAGCACUUUUGGCAGGAAAGCGGUACCUGCAGAAUAAGCACCGGCUAACUACGUGCCAGCAGCCGCGGUAAUAC